rnacentral:rRNA from 1 species
GUGCCAGCAGCCGCGGUAAUACAGGGGGCUCGAGCGUUAAUCGGAAUUACUGGGCGUAAAGCGUGCGCAGGCGGUUCGCUAAGACCGAUGUGAAAUCCCCGGGCUUAACCUGGGAACUGCAUUGGUGACUGGCGGGCUAGAGUAUGGCAGAGGGGGGUAGAAUUCCACGUGUAGCAGUGAAAUGCGUAGAGAUGUGGAGGAAUACCGAUGGCGAAGGCAGCCCCCUGGGCCAAUACUGACGCUCAUGCACGAAAGCGUGGGGAGCAAACAGGAUUAGAUACCCGUGUAGUCC